GCCGUCUUAGCUCAGCAGGCAGAGCACUUGACUUGUAAUCAUGAGGUCUCCGGUUCGAUUCCGGAAGACGGCU
rnacentral:tRNA from 1 species